UCCCUAUGGGGUGCAGCAGGCGCGAAACCUCUGCAAUAGGCGAAAGCCUGACAGGGUUACUCUGAGUGAUCUCCGUUAAGGAGAUCUUUUGGCACCUCUAAAAAUGGUGCAGAAUAAGGGGUGGGCAAGUCUGGUGUCAGCCGCCGCGGUAAUACCAGCACCCCGAGUGGUCGGGACGUUUAUUGGGCCUAAAGCAUCCGUAGCCGGUUCUACAAGUCUUCCGUUAAAUCCAGCUGCUUAACAGAUGGGCUGCGGAAGAUACUAUGGAGCUAGGAGGCGGGAGAGGCAAGCGGUACUCGAUGGGUAGGGGUAAAAUCCGUUGAUCCAUUGAAGACCACCAGUGGCGAAGGCGGCUUGCCAGAACGCGCUCGACGGUGAGGGAUGAAAGCUGGGGGAGCAAACCGGAUUAGAUACCCGGGUAGUCCCAGCUGUAAACGAUGCAGACUCGGUGAUGGGCCGGCUUUAUGCCGGCUCAGUGCCGCAGGGAAGCCGUUAAGUCUGCCGCCUGGGGAGUACGGUCGCAAGACUGAAACUUAAAGGAAUUGGCGGGGGAGCACCACAAGGGGUGAAGCCUGCGGUUCAAUUGGAUUCAACGCCGGAA
rnacentral:rRNA from 1 species